rnacentral:rRNA from 1 species
AUGAUCAAAGAUUGGCUUGAUCUCCAUGAUGUGCACCCUUCCGAUAGUGACGCGACUUCCGUUAAAGAGUGGUGGAGCCACAAUGCUAACAAGAAGACCCAAUCACGAAGACCGCUUGAUUCCUUGAUGCUGCUAAUCUCUUGGGAGUUAUGGAAAGAGAGGAAUGCACAAAUCUUUUGUAAUAAUGCCGUUCCGGUGGGAGUCGACGUUGCUAGGAUUAAAGAGGAGACCUUACUUUGGAGCAUUGCAGGAGCAAGGCAUUUGAAUAACAUAAUGCCGUGA